rnacentral:rRNA from 1 species
GAUGAACGCUAGCGGCAGGCCUAAUACAUGCAAGACGAACGGUAAGAUUUUUAGCAAUAAGGAUCCUAGAGUGUCGUAAGGGUGCGUAACACGUAUGCAAUCUGCCCUCAACAGGAGGAUAGCUCCCCGAAAGGGGCAUUAAUACUCCGUAAGAAGGAGGAGUAGCAUCACUUUUCUUUUAAAACUCAGGUGGUUGAGGAUGAGCAUGCGCAUGAUUAGUUAGUUGGCGGGGUAACGGCCCACCAAGACGAUGAUCAUUAGGGGAACUGAGAGGUUGAUCCCCCACACUGGCACUGAGAUACGGGCCAGACUCCUACGGGAGGCAGCAGUAGGGAAUAUUGGACAAUGGGUGCGAGCCUGAUCCAGCCAUGCCGCGUGCAGGAAGACGGCCUUCUGGGUUGUAAACUGCUUUUGCCAGGGGAUAAAACGGCUCUGCGGAGCUAAUUGAAGGUACCUGGUGAAUAAGCCACGGCUAACUACGUGCCAGCCGCCGCAGUAAGAC